CUGAUGGGGAAACUCAUCUCAUGGAAGUGCUCUAUUCAAUAAAGCCACCAGGGUAAACAAAUUAACACAUCAAGACCUAAUGAGCAACAAGACCAAACCAAUUAUUAUGUCAUUAAUUAGUAAGGAUUAGACUAAGAGGUGAUAAAGUGUUUUUCACCAGCUUAUCAUAAAGCUCUUUGCAAGUCAGUGUCCCUUUUCCUCAGAGAGACACUGGUGUGCUGAAGCAAACAUUCUGGGAUUUCGACACAAGUGUGGAGGAGAGCACUACACCCUCAGCUUUGGUGGUAGCUGGCAUAAUGGUCCACUUGAGAUUUGAAGCAGAAAACUUCAUUGGAGGACAGGCUGCAUAUUGCAACAAGCAGCCAUAUGUGAUGAGCUUCUAAAGAAGGGUGUGAGCACCUGAUCCCCAAACCUCAGUGAGACAGAAUGGAGUGUGGAAAAAUCAACCAGUUUAAAACUUCUAAUGAGCCAGGAAACUAUGACACAAAAGAACAAAAGUAGUUUUCCAAAAAUGAAAGAUCCUACAGUUGCAAAAUACCUGGAUUGCUUGGCACUUGGCACAGGCAUAUGUGAUGACUUGAGGGGCCAUUUUGACACACUUCUUCAGCUUUUGGAGGGGUAAAGGCUGAAUUCUGUUGACAGCUGAGUAACACUGUUACCUGCCAGUGUGAUUACAGCAGUGUCCGCCUUCAUUUUCAAAUCCAAUUUGCAUUUAAUAAAAUGAAAGAUGAAAGCAACCUGGCUGAAAGUGCAUCAUCAGCACCAGCUUGCUGAAUAAUGGAUUUGAAAGACUGGAAAGAAGUCACCAAACUAGUUACAACGUUGGAGUGAAUCUAGGUCAGAGAAACUUCAGCAUGCCUUAUUGCAAGCCCAUGACAUAAAUCAUCCAGGAGAGGCCAGAGAAGACCAGCUUCCCAGCUUAUUUAUUGUAGAAAAGAUUGGCAUUAAUGAGCUGGAGGAGCGGAACGCAUCCAUCUGGGAUCAAAAUAUCAGCAUGUCCUUCAAGGGGAUGGUGACUAUCCAGAAAAUGUGUCCAGAGAGACCCUGUGCUCCAAACCACGGGGGAGUUUCCUGCAGACUGCACUGUCAUCCCGAGGUACCCUGUGUCCUGCUGUGCAGCCCUGG